GACGAACGCUGGCGGCGUGCUUAACACAUGCAAGUCGAACGGUAAGGCCCUUCGGGGUACACGAGUGGCGAACGGGUGAGUAACACGUGGGUGAUCUGCCCUGCACUUCGGGAUAAGCCUGGGAAACUGGGUCUAAUACCGGAUAGGACUCCUGGCUUCAUGGUUGGGGGUGGAAAGCUUUUGCGGUGUGGGAUGGGCCCGCGGCCUAUCAGCUUGUUGGUGGGGUAAUGGCCUACCAAGGCGACGACGGGUAGCCGGCCUGAGAGGGUGACCGGUCACACGGGAACUGAGAUACGGCCCAGACUCCUACGGGAGGCAGCAGUGGGGAAUAUUGCACAAUGGGCGCAAGCCUGAUGCAGCGACGCCGCGUGAGGGAUGACGGCCUUCGGGUUGUAAACCUCUUUCAGCUAUGACGAAGCGCAAGUGACGGUAGUAGCAGAAGAAGGACCGGCCAACUACGUGCCAGCCGCCGCAGUAA
rnacentral:rRNA from 1 species